GGUGACAUCACAUGGAGUUCUUGAAAAAAGAUUUAAUGCCACCCACUUAAUGCCAUACAGCAGUAUUGUCAAAGUUAAAAGUGAUGCCAAUGUUAGCUUAAGUGAGGCCGUCUUAAAUGAAAUCACUAGUAAAGUAGUCUUUUGUCGAUGUAAAAAAGCUUGCCAAACCAAGCACUGUCGAUGCUUUGAAAAUGGAAUACUAUGUGUCUCACCAUGUCAUAAAAAAAAACAAAAAAUUGCAAAAACAACAACCCCCAUUUUUCUGUACAGAGUGAAAGGAAUGAUGAUAGUUUAACUGAAUCAGUAGAUACUCAAAUGGCAAUAAUUUCCACAAUCAAUGAGCAAAAAUUAUUUGAGUUUAAUCGCAACAAUAUAAAUGAAGACGAAGAUUCAGGUAACAU